UUGGAGGGCAAGUCUGGUGCCAGCAGCCGCGGUAAUUCCAGCUCCAAUAGCGUAUAUUAAAGUUGUUGCAGUUAAAAAGCUCGUAGUUGAAUUUCGGGGUUCUACCGUUGGUCGGGCUUUGUCUGUACUGGUGUGUAGAAUUUCUACCUUCUGGGGAACCAUCAUGCUAUUAAUUUAGCGUGGUGGGAAACCAGGACCUUUACCUUGAAAAAAUUAGUGUGUUCAAAGCAGGCUUAUGUCUGAAUACAUUAGCGUGGAAUAAUAGAAUAGGACGGUGGUCCUGUUUUGUUGGUUUCUGAAUCACCGUAAUGAUUAAUAGGGAUAGUUGGGGGCAUUAGUAUUCAAUUGUCAGAGGUGAAAUUCUUGGAUUUAUUGAAGACUAACUUCUGCGAAAGCAUUUGCCAAGGAUGUUUUCAUUAAUCAAGAACGAAAGUUAGGGGAUCGAAGACGAUCAGAUACCGUCGUAGUCUUAACCAUAAACUAUGCCGACUAGGGAUCGGACGAUGUUAAUUUUUCUUGACUCGUUCGGCGCCUUACGGGA
rnacentral:rRNA from 1 species